rfam:Schistosoma curassoni strain Dakar, Senegal genome assembly, scaffold: SCTD_contig0006794
AGCUUUCUCAAUCCGUACUAAGACUUCGUCAAAUAUCAACCCAAAAGUUCUGAUAAGGCUUCAAAGAUGAGUGAAUUA